CACAGGAGUCUGGGCUGCUGGGAUGCAGCUCAAGUGGCUUGUGCUUGUUUACGCCCAGCCAUUAGCCUUGUUCCUGUCACCAUCAAUUACUGAAGAAUCCAUCAUGCCUUACUCAUGAGGGGGCUUCAUUUCCGUUUCCUGAGGAAGAGUGGCAGGGGGCAGAUAACUUCAGGAGGUGCUAAGAGUCGUGAGGAAGGACAGCAUGUGGUCUUGACUCAAAAUGAUACUCCAGUGCAUUUGGGAGAGGCACAACUUACCAGUCAAGGAAGAACACAGGAGUCACUAGGUUCCAGAUGCCAUCAGGAUGCCGGCCAGGCUUCCCUGGAUUGAAGACCCCACCAAUGUAUCCUGGAGCUCAGCUUCCCCAGAGACACACUCUACUAGGGAAAGUGAGAGGCAGACUGGGAGUAUGGACCGACCAGUCAACGCCCAUGUUCAGUGGGGAAGCAAUUACAGAAGCCAGACCUUCUACCUUCUGCAACCCUCAAUGACCCUGGGUCCAUGCUUCCAGAGGGAUAGAGAAUGGGAAAGCUAUCAGGGGAGGGGGUGGGAUAUGGAGAUUGGGUGGUGGGAAUUGUGUGGAGUUGUA